AACCCGUGGGGUGGGCAUUUUAUAGUAAGCUCUUUAAACUUCUCCUAGCUACCAGUGAAUCUUUCCCCUUCUUUCUAUUUGAAAUUGGUGAUUUGUAGACGGAGGUU